ACCGGGGACGUUUCCGGAAUUAAUUGGGCGUAAGCGAGCGCAGGCGGUUGCUUAGGUCUGAUGUGAAAGCCUUCGGCUUAACCGAAGAAGUGCAUCGGAAACCGGGCGACUUGAGUGCAGAAGAGGACAGUGGAACUCCAUGUGUAGCGGUGGAAUGCGUAGAUAUAUGGAAGAACACCAGUGGCGAAGGCGGCUGUCUGGUCUGCAACUGACGCUGAGGCUCGAAAGCAUGGGUAGCGAACAGGAUUAGAUACCCUGGUAGUCCAUGCCGUAAACGAUGAGUGCUAGGUGUUGGAGGGUUUCCGCCCUUCAGUGCCGGAGCUAACGCAUUAAGCACUCCGCCUGGGGAGUACGACCGCAAGGUUGAAACUCAAAGGAAUUGACGGGGGCCCGCACAAGCGGUGGAGCAUGUGGUUUAAUUCGAAGCUACGCGAAGAACCUUACCAGGUCUUGACAUCUUGCGCUAACCUUAGAGAUAAGGCGUUCCCUUCGGGGACGCAAUGACAGGUGGUGCAUGGUCGUCGUCAGCUCGUGUCGUGAGAUGUUGGGUUAAGUCCCGCAACGAGCGCAACCCUUGUUACUAGUUGCCAGCAUUAAGUUGGGCACUCUAGUGAGACUGCCGGUGACAAACCGGAGGAAGGUGGGGACGACGUCAGAUCAUCAUGCCCCUUAUGACCUGGGCUACACACGUGCUACAAUGGACGGUACAACGAGUCGCAAACUCGCGAGAGUAAGCUAAUCUCUUAAAGCCGUUCUCAGUUCGGACUGUAGGCUGCAACUCGCCUACACGAAGUCGGAAUCGCUAGUAAUCGCGGAUCAGCAUGCCGCGGUGAAUACGUUCCCGGGCCUUGUACACACCGCCCGUCACACCACGAGAGUUUGUAACGCCCAAACUCGGUGGCCUACCCUCUAUGGUUGGAGCCGCCUAAUGCGGGACAGAUGACUGGGGUGAGUCUUACCGGGGAGGGGGAAAAAAAAA
rnacentral:rRNA from 1 species